GCUGGGGAGGGUAAAAUGUACGCAGUCCAUACCACUACAUCUGAAGAGGUAGAGAGGUUGCUUUCGAUAGACCCCUGACUCAAGAAAAGGACCGAGACCGUGUUCAAAUAUCGCAAGUAUAUAACAUGAUAAAAUAACAACGAUACAACAACCUCAAAUAAGUACAUGAACCAACAAAAGACAUCCCCUUCCCCCAACCCUAGCCCUACCAACCAAGCUACACGAAACUCUCCUAACUCCAGCCUAUGACUUAACCACAUCCCUUAGCCCUCUACCCUAAUACUCUUCCUCCAAACCUUCCUAUCAAGGGUCAUGUCCUCAGUGAGCCGUAAUUGCUCCAUGUCAUGUCUAAUUACUUCCGUCCAGUAUUUCUUUGGUCUUACCCUACCCCGC
rnacentral:lncRNA from 1 species